rnacentral:lncRNA from 1 species
UCUCUAAUUACUUGUGAUCUGAUGAUCAUAUGUGUGGGUGGCUUCAGAUGGUUACAAUCUUUAUAAGAGGUCUUGUCAAUUAAUGAAUUAGUUUAUGUACGUGAAGGCUAGCUGGCUAGCUAUUAUAUUAUAUAUAUUAAGGCUAAUAAGUAGUGCAGUUAGGGGCCGGGGAGCUAGGGAGCAAUGGGAAGGUUGUUAGAGAGAAUUGCAAAGUGGAAACGAGUGGGGAGACAAUUGAGGGGAAAGCUGUAUAUUAUGAGGGUGUGCAUCAGUAUGCUUCUAUGUUGGGACAACAACUACUCUUAGCUACACAAACUACCUACAUUUUAAUUUCAGCUCUCUUAGCUAGGAGUUGUCUCUUUUUCUUCUUUUAGUGUUAUUUAAGUUUGUACUUUGUUUAAUUUCCCUUAAUUAAUUGGGUUAUAUAUAUAUAUAUAUAUGGGAAUUUACCCGUUUGUAUUUGUGGCAUGUAUGUAUGUAAAUUAGUGAAGUUUUAGUGCAGCAAUUAAUUCAGAUGUGAAAAUUGCAAUAAGUCUAUAUAUAACUAACAAUGUUAGCUAGCAUAUAUAUAAUAUAUAUAAGAUCUGC